rnacentral:rRNA from 1 species
CCUACGGGAGGCAGCAGUGAGGGAUCUUGCGCAAUGGGCGAAAGCCUGACGCAGCAACGCCGCGUGCGGGAAGACGGCCUUCGGGUUGUAAACCGCUUUCAGCAGGGACGAAAUUGACGGUACCUGCAGAAGAAGCUCCGGCCAACUACGUGCCAGCAGCCGCGGUAAUA